AUUAAAAUAACAUUUUAUCUUUUGAAAAAUUUAAAUUUUUUUUAUUUUUCUAAAUAUGAAAUCUUAUCCCAAAACCCCACUCCCCAACUCUAAACCCUAAACUCUAAACCCUAAACUCUAAAUCCUAAACCGUAAAUCCUAAAUCAUAAACCCCACCCCUUAACUCUAAACCCUAAACCCCACCCCUAAACUCUAAACCCUAAACCCUAAAAUCUAAACUCUAAACCCUAAACCCUAAACCCUAAACCCUAAAUCCUAAACCCGACCCCUUAACUCUAAAC
rnacentral:lncRNA from 1 species